CCCAUUGGGAUAAGAUGCAGGAGAGCUACGAGAGCGUCAUCUCAUUGGCGGAAGAGAUCGCCAUCAGUUGGCCAAGGAUCACGGCCUUCGCCGAAUCCCAUCGCAGGAGGGGAGCGGCGGCCGACGAUUCCUUGUUGAGCGAGAACGACGACGAGGACCCUCCGCCGGGCGAGCUGGACAAGGCCGCUCCCCCUCCUCCCCAUCGCCCCAUCCCAAAGGCCCCAUUCCCAG